ACAAGCCUGAGAAACGGCUAGUAGGACUAAGGUCUGCAGCAGGCGCGAAACUUACACAAUGCUAGAUUUCGAUUAGCGAUGUAGUGAAGAAAAAUAACGAUGUGCUUCCUUUUAAACAAGGUUGCACAAUUGGAAUGAGACGACUUUAAAACAGUCAGUCGAGUAACAAAUGGAGGGCAAGUCUGGUGCCAGCAGCCGCGGUAAUUCCAGCUCCAUUAGCAUACAUUAAAGUUGUUGCGGUUAAAAAGCUCGUAGUUGAAUGUCUGGCGGGCUCUUGGGUGGGUGGUGCAUCAAGGCUGACUUCGGUCGGCUGCGCCUCCUUUACCCUCUUGGCCCGUUGUUUCGUCACUUAAUCGAGUGCGAAGCGUGUCGAUGGAGUAGAAAGUUAACUCUUUCAACGCCACUGGCAAGUUUACCUUGAGAAAAUUAGAGUGCUCAGCGCAGGCAGUCGGGGUGUAAAAGCCCCUUUAUGCUUGAAUAAUGUUGCAUGGAAUAAUAGAAUACGGCCUCGGUUCUAUUCUGUUGGUCUUAUAGAACAACAAACAAGUUGGUGCGGGCGAUCAAUGCGACUGUCUGGUGUGGUCUAUUCGAAAUUCGUGCUGUCUGCGGCCUCAAAAUCGCAGUACCUCAUUUUCGGUAUUCCAUCAAAGCACCUCUCAGAAGCAUGCCCACACACCAACUGAGGCAAUGGUUAAAAGAAAUAGUCGCGGCGGCAUCAGUACUGCAUCGUGAGAG
rnacentral:rRNA from 1 species